CAUAACCUUUAGCUAAACCAGUAUUAAAGGCAACGCCUGCCCGGUGAAUAGUUUAACGGCCGCGGUACCCUAACCGUGCAAAGGUAGCGUAAUCACUUGUCUAUUAAUUGUAGACCCGUAUGAAAGGCAUAAUGAGGGUCUAACUGUCUCUUUUAGUAAAUCAAUUAAACUGAUCUCCUAGUCCAAAAGCUAGGAUACCAACAUAAGACCAGAAGACCCUGUGAAACUUUAACUAAACUAUUAAACCCUAUAAUAACUCCUUUAGGUUGGGGCGACCUUGGAAAAAAAAAGAACUUCCAAAUAACAUAUUAAAUAAUAAUAAAGUACCAGGCCAACAAGCCUACCUACGACCCAGCACAGCUGAUAACUGAACCAAGCUACUCCAGGGAUAACAGCGCUAUCUUCUUCAAGAGCCCAUAUCAAAAAGAAGGUUUACGACCUCGAUGUUGGAUCAGGACAUCCUAACGGUGCAACCGCUAUUAAGGGUUCGUUUGUUCAACGAUUAACAGUCCUACGUGAUCUG
rnacentral:rRNA from 1 species